rnacentral:rRNA from 1 species
GACAGAGGUGCCAAGCGUUAGGCGGAAUCACUGGGCUUAAAGCGUGUGUAGGCGGACUUGUAAGUACCUUGUGAAAUCCCACGGCUCAACCGUGGAACUGCUUGGUAUACUGCUUGUCUUGAGCCACUUAGGGGCUACCGGAACAAAUGGUGGAGCGGUGAAAUGCGUAGAUAUCAUUUGGAACGCCAAUGGUGAAAACAGGUAGCUGGGAGUGUGCUGACGCU